GACCUAAAAUAUAAGGUGAAGUACUACAGCAAUUAGUCUUCAUAAGGUUUAUCAAAAGAAUAAUGUUACCUUGAAUCCAAAAUAGAAAAGAAGAAAAAAAGAUCAAUUGGAGAGUAUUUUGAAUCGUCAACCGUUGAAUUGGAUAUGAGAUUCUAACUCAAUGGCUGACCAUUCAUAUAACGCUUAAUACACGCUAAUCAUUAUGAUUACACAAAACGUUCUUCUCCACUGUGUUGGUUCCAAUUUUGUACAGUGGACUGUCUAAUAUAUUAAGAUCGAGGACAAGGAAAAGCCCAACAACAAAGGAAACGAAACAAAACGAACAAUUGGGGUCCAACACGGAGGUUCCAUGACCAAAAUCCAAUUAAAGACAAAAAUUCUAAGUUAAUUAAGCAGGCAUUGGGCUUUUAUUAUUGGUCAACAUUUUGGAAGAUCGGACGGUGGAGGAAGCAGCUUCUGAUGGGGAAGUUUUCCAUCACGGACAAUCCAUGCCAUGGUCAGGCCCCAGCUCAGAUGGACAUCAAAGUGGCAGUGCAUUAACCAUACUCCGGGAUUAUCAGCGAAAAAACGAAUUGCUGCCCACCCACCAGAGGGCACACCAAUAGUGUUGAGUUCAACGGGAUCAACAAGGUUAUAAUUUUUGGGAUCAUUCUUGGGAUCAAAAUUUCCAAAUCCUUGACCAACAACAUAGAAAUUGUAGCCAUGGAGAUGGAUAGGGUGUCUCUCAAAACCCAAAAUGCUAGUAUCUUGCAAGACUAUCUCCACACUAGCAUUGAAUGGAAUCACUGCCACUUUGCUUCCUUUGGUAACAAAAGUGAUAUUUGGUGGUGUUCCUGUGUAGUUGAAUGGUUUGGGUGGAAAUUUUGGAAAAUUUGUAGUGUAAACCCCAUUAGAUUUUUUAAAGUAAUAGGAUUGAAGGAUUGCUCUUGAAGGUAAAACAAAGGAAUUGUUGUUAACAGAAGCUGCAAAGUUUGUGCCAUUAGGUCCUUGACAAGUCUGAUUUUUUGCGCAGGGGCUGGUUCCUAGACCUACCGCGAAGUAAAACUUCUUGUCAACUUUUUGAGGCACAUUAGCUGGGAAUUGAGCAUUGACCAGCCUGCGAAAUCUGCUCGAAUAAUUGGCAGCAACACUCGUAGCAUUAAUGGGAGGCAGAGGUGGUCUAAUGACUGGAAGUCUUUUGGAUUUGAAGGCAUUUGAAGAAGUUUUAUACUCGAGAAUCCCAGCAACAGUUGUGUUAUCAAUUGCACCUUGAGAGGUGGAAUAUGGUCUGGCUAAUAUAAAGAAUUUGGCAUUAGGAGCGAUGGGUUUGGUUUUAAGGAGAACAUUUGUGGUCUGUCCCGGUGAAAUUAGCAAAAGCUCAGUUUCAAAAGGCUUCACAUAAGUCGCAUCAGCUUCAACAACAGUGAGACUGUGAUUUGCUAUGGUGAAAAAGAGGUCAUCAUCCAGUGCAGCAUUGAUCACUCUUAGAAGGUAUGUCUUUCCUGGCUUCACCCUUAGCCUGUACGUAUCCUUUGCUGAGCAAUUAUAUAAUGGGCCUGGAAGUCCAUUAAUGGUGUAGGCAUUAGAGACGUUAGGGGCAGCUCCUGUCUGUAAAGCUUGAUUAAUGAUUGCCUCUGGAUCAGUAUUAUACCAUUCUCCAAGAAUGAUGGUGACUUCCUUAUAGGGUUUGGGAAAUGGGUAUGAAGCAAUGAGCUGAGGGAGGAUAAUAAGAGGUCCAUACACAGUAGCUCUAAGCCAUUGGAAGUGAGCGUGCCAUAAGAGAGUUCCUCUUUGUCCUGUAAUAGUGAAAUUGUACACAUAAGUAUUGUUUGUUUGAAUAGGGCAUUGAGUGAUGUAUGCUGGCCCAUCUGCCCAUCCAUUGCGAAGCUGUCGAACUCCAUGCCAAUGGAUGGUGACAUUGCUAGAAACAUGAUUGACCACCUUCACUAGAAGAUGGUCACCUUCUCUGGCAACGACGGGAGGCCCCGGAAACUGGCCGUUCACCGUCACCAUGCUCUUGGUGCGACACAACCGAGUGACAUUAAUGGAUACUAUGUCAAACUUGUAGUGCCUGGUAAUUCCAGCAUUGGCAACCUGAGGAAAGUCACAGAAGCAGAAAAAAAGCAAGCAGAAGGGCCACAAGAAAUGCUGGCAGCGGAGGAUAUGAAGCACCCAUAUUAUGUCUAAUUAACGAUCAAAAACUUUUUUCACCUUGUGUAUAUGUGCUUGAUGAGAAGUGGAAGAAUAGAUAUCGAUCUAGCUAGGUAUAGUUGAAUACAUUAGUGAAUUUUCUAAGAGAACUUAGCAAAUUCCCUUAGUUUUGC
rnacentral:misc_RNA from 1 species